UUCUUCGAAAAAAGACGGACUUCUGCUGAGAUUUGUUUGAGAGAAGAACGAUUUCUGCUGCGAUUUGUUCGAGAGGAGACCGAUUUUUGCUUACUGGUGGCAGAGGGAGCUAAACUUUGUGGAGCUACUAAAAUCAUUGGUUUGGAUAUUAACCCUGCUAAAUUUGAAACUGUUCAUCAAUGAACCCCUCUCCGCUCUUGGUGAUGUCAUCUCUGCUCUUGCAACUAAAACAACCCAUGUUCCAUACAGAAACUCAAAGCUUACGCACAUGCUGCAGAGCUCUUUAGAUUAGUCCUAGCGCUGCAGACAUAGGGGAGACUUUAUGCUCCCUGAAAUUUGCUAGUCGAGUCAAGGAAAUCGAAUAUGGUCUAACUCGCAAGCAGACAGAUAAUUCUGAGCUCCUCAAGUAUAAGCAUCUGGCUGAGAAACCAAAGCAUGAUGAAAAAGAAGCAAAGAAACUGCAGAACAAUGUAUAAUCUUUACAGCUUAGGCUUUUUGCCAGAGAGCAUAUCUGCAGAAAUCUCCAG